GCACCACAAACGGCAGAUAAGAUACAGGUAGUUAUUUCUUACACUUCAGAGCACCUUUAUUUUUGUUUUUAUUGACUGCAAUCGUAAGAAUAAAGUUUGGUCAAAACGGCGCGUUCCAAAAAUUCAAAUUGACCAUAGUACAGUUAUAAUUAUUUUGAAAAAGCGCCUUGUAAAUCAUUCUCAGGUUAGGUUGUGAUACGUAUAAUUAAUUGCUGUUAAAACGGCCGCAUGCAUUUUGUACCAUUGUAUUUAUCUUGCAUGUUUUCGUAUGAUUAUUAGAAUAUGUUUUUCUGCAUCGUCCCGAUCACGUUAAAAAGAAAUACGUGUUGUAGUAUUCCGGAAAUUUAAAUGUAGGUUGGUUUUAGAGGAUAAUAUCGUUAUGAACUUGUAUCCGGUGUUUACUUUUUCGGAAAAUCGAAAGAUUUGCCCCCAGGCUUAUGUUCUUUCAGAAAAGAUAUCCAUGGAACAAAUCAUCUGAAAAAAAAGAGAAGAUGAAGAAUACUUCUGUUAAAAAGUUGAAGUAACUGAUGAGCAGAUCAAUCCAACUUGAACAUGAUAUCAUUUCUCCAAUGAUGAAAACAAGUCUCUCUAUACUCAAGCAUUGACAUUUUUAAAGUCGACUGAAACUGGAACAGGUCAUACAUGCAGACUACAUUGAUGUGUUGCACAGUUCCGAAAACAUGCAGCUACCACUAGCAUAAGCAUGAUAAGUGUAAGUGGGUCAUCAAAAAAUGAGAACCACUCAUUAAGGACUUUUCUGUUGGUUGAUGAUGGACUACAAACUGAUUUUUUAACAAAGGAAUCCACCUUGGUGCUUAUUGGCUACUUAUGAUGUGAACUUGUGCAUUUAUUAUACCAAGUAAUUUUACAUUUCCUUGAUAAUACUAUACUUGCAUA